GAAAGGUAUGCUAAUACGGGAUAAUAUAUUUGAGAGGCAUCUCUUAAAUAUCAAAGGUGAGCCAGUACAGGAUGGACCCGCGUCUGAUUAGCUAGUUGGUAAGGUAACGGCUUACCAAGGCGACGAUCAGUAGCCGACCUGGGAGGGUGAUCGGCCACAUUGGAACUGAGACACGGUCCAAACUCCUACGGGAGGCAGCAGUGGGGAAUAUUGCACAAUGGGCGAAAGCCUGAUGCAGCAACGCCGCGUGAGGGAUGAAGGCCUUCGGGUCGUAAAACUCUGUCCUCAAGGAAGAUAAUGACGGUACUUGAGGAGGAAGCCCCGGCUAACUACG
rnacentral:rRNA from 1 species